rnacentral:rRNA from 1 species
CCAGCACCCCGAGUGGUCGGGACGAUUAUUGGGCCUAAAGCAUCCGUAGCCGGUUUUCCAAGUCCUCCGUUAAAUCCAACUGCUUAACAGAUGGGCCGCGGAGGAUACUAUAAGACUAGGAGGCAGGAGAGGCAAGCGGUACUCAGUGGGUAGGGGUAAAAUCCGUUGAUCCAUUGAAGACCACCAGUGGCGAAGGCGGCUUGCCAGAAUGCGCUCGACGGUGAGGGAUGAAAGCUGGGGGAGCAAACCGGAUUAGAUACCCGGGUAGUCCCAGCUGUAAACGAUGCAGACUCGGUGAUGGACUAGCUUUAUGCUAGUCCAGUGCCGCAGGGAAGCCGUUAAGUCUGCCGCCUGGGUAGUACGGUCGCAAGACUG